rnacentral:lncRNA from 1 species
CAAUCACCGGAAACACUAUGAGCUGGUCUGAGAUACAGCGACUUAGAACCAGAGCUAGAGACACAAAGCCGUCCUUCCGAGGACUUUAUAGGACUAUUGCGCUGUGUGGAUGAGUCUACCCCCCCGUAGGACUGUCUCCAGGUUCUGAGGGACCACCGACUAUCCGGACCAUGAGAUCCCAUCGAGCUCGUUUCGGACUGGCUCCACCGGGAGAGGAGCCCCCUCCGUUCGAUCCGGGACAUCCGGCCUGGGGCCCCCCUCCUCCGGGUGGUUGGGGCCCAUCAUAUCCAGGCUGGGACCCCAGAGGACCCCCACCCCCUGAUUGGGACGUUUUGGGACCCCGACCCCCUGGCUGGGAUCCCAGAGGACCCCCAUACUGGGACCCCAGAGAUCCACGAGGACCCCCCUGUGACUGGGACCCUAUGGGACCAUCCUGGGACCCGAUAGGACCUCCAUACUGGGACCCCAGAGGACCCCAACCCCCAGAUUGGGACACUUUAGGACGCCCCCUCCCUCCUCCAGAGCACUGGAGACCCCCCCAGGAGAACCUCCCUCCCUGGGGGGCCCACAGUUACCCCCCUCCCCCUGCCCCCUCUCCUGCUCCACCAACCCUAGGCCCCAUCCCCAUCGCGGCAAUGCCACCACCGGUAAGCGCCCCUCCCCUUGGGUACCUGGCUGUGCCCCCUCCUGGUUGGACCCCCGAGCCAAUCAAAGAUGAGCCCAUGCUGAACCCCGCCCCUGAGCAGCCGGAGUGGAUCAAAGCUCUCAUUUUGGCUCCGGCCAAUGAAGCGCCUAAAGCUACAGACGGAGCCAAAGCUGUGAAAGAGGCCCCUGCUGAAGCCCCGCCCACUGCCACACCUGACGUCAGAGACGUGAAGAAGAGCACGAAGACCAGGACGUUUGGACUGUUGGGAAGACGCACUUUUGACAGGUGUGUGUGUGUGUGUGUGUGAUAAUAAUUGUGUGUGUGUGUGAUAAUAAUUGUGUGUGUGUUAAUGCUGUGCGAUUUUGACAAAAAACCUAAUUGUG